rnacentral:rRNA from 1 species
UACGAGUGCCUCGAGCGUUAUCCGGAUUCACUGGGCGUAAAGGGUGCGUAGGUGGCUUGACAAGUUUGAUGUGAAAUCUCCGGGCUUAACCCGGAAAAUGCAUUGAAUACUGUAGAGGCUUGAGGUUUGGAGGGGGGAUUGGAAUUCUCGGUGUAGCAGUGAAAUGCGUAGAUAUCGAGAGGAACACCAGUGGCGAAGGCGAGUCCCUGGACAACACCUGACACUGAGGCACGAAAGCCGGGGGAGCAAACAGG